rnacentral:lncRNA from 1 species
AGAGUUUGGGGAAAGAAAUUACUCAGGACAACCUGAAAAAGGACAAUGGAACUGAUGAAACAAACUGAUAGGGGCUCAAGACAUUGGCAUUAGACAACUGUUCUUGAAUUGGGGUAAUUAUAAAGCCACGGGGGAGGGGGGGAGAUAUAUCCUCAAUCCCAGACCUAUGAGAGUUAAGAUAAUGAUCUUUAGAAUUAAUGAGUUACACAUGUACCAAAGGUAACUUUUUUUAGACAAGGAAAAGAGAAAGGCACUGAUAGCUUUGUGACAUUUGAAUUGAAUUUUUGAUGGAAACUAGGAAUUCUAAAGAGGAAGACGGUGUGGGGACCAGCCUGGAAAAUGUCUCUCAGAAGAGGAUGACCUUAGACCUUCAGGAUGUUCUUUCCCAGGUAGUCUUAGGACUAGAAGCCUCUGGAAACUCUGGCCUAAUAUACAAAUCAUGGAACCGAAAGAAUGACAGGUUCCUAGAAGAUCUAGAAUGGCCAUAUAACCAUGCUUUCAGUUUGUUCAGACUGGCAUCAUCAGUGAAAAUUCAUCAAUAA